UACGAAGGGGGCUAGCGUUGCUCGGAAUCACUGGGCGUAAAGGGCGCGUAGGCGGGCCAUAAAGUCAGGGGUGAAAUCCUCCAGCUUAACUGGAGAACUGCCUUUGAUACUGAUGGUCUCGAGUAAGGUAGGGGCAUGCGGAACUGAUGGUGGAGCGGUGAAAUGUGUUGAUAUCAUCAAGGAACUCCGGUGGCGAAGGCGGCAUGCUGGACCUU
rnacentral:rRNA from 1 species